AGUGAACGCUGGCGGUAGGCCUAACACAUGCAAGUCGAACGGCAGCACAGUAAUAGCUUGCUCUUACGGGUGGCGAGUGGCGGACGGGUGAGGAAUACAUCGGAAUCUACUUUUUCGUGGGGGAUAACGUAGGGAAACUUACGCUAAUACCGCAUACGACCUACGGGUGAAAGCAGGGGAUCUUCGGACCUUGCGCGAUUGAAUGAGCCGAUGUCGGAUUGGCUAGUUGGCGGGGUUAAGGCCCACCAAGGCGACGAUCCGUAGCUGGUCUGAGAGGAUGAUCAGCCACCCUGGAACUGGGACACGGUCCAGACUCCUACGGGAGGCAGCAGUGGGGAAUAUUGGACAGUGGGCGCAAGCAUGAUCCAGCCAUACCGCGUGGGUGAAGAAGACCUUCGGGUUGUAAAGCCGUUUUGUUGGGAAAGAAAAGCAGCAGGUUAAUACCCCGCUGUUCUGACGGUACCCAAUGAAUAAGCACCGGCUAACUUCGUG
rnacentral:rRNA from 1 species